CAGCUCAGAUGGCAGCCCUGCAAGCUAAAGCUUUGGCAGAGACAGGAAUAGCUGUUCCUAGCUACUAUAACCCAGCCGCUGUUAAUCCAAUGAAAUUUGCUGAACAAGAGAAAAAAAGGAAAAUGCUUUGGCAGGGCAAGAAAGAAGGGGUAAGUUCUCUUAUUCUGCUUUUCUGUCGUUUAUUCCUAAUUAGUAAUUGCUUAGAAAAACAAAUUUGGGUUGAAAAAUAUUACUUUCGGCUUAACUUUGUAAGAACCUGGGGUGGCCAGACGCGGGUGGCUUAUGCCUUUAAUCCCAGCACUUUGGGAUGCCAAGUGAGCGGAUCAGUUGAGGUAAGGAGUCCAAGACCAGCCUGGCCAACAUGGCAAAACCCUGUCUCUACUGAAAAGAAGAUAAAAAUCAGCUGGGUGUGGUGGCACACACCUGUAAUCCCAGGUGCUUGGGAGGCUGAGGCAGGAGAAUCGCUUGAGCCUGGGAUGCAGAGCCUACAUACAGUGCCCACCACCAUGCCAGGCUAGUUUUUUGUAUUUUUAGUAGAGACGGGGUUUCACCUAGUCAUCCAGGCUAGUCUCGAUCCCCUGACCUCAGGUGAUUUGCCCACCUCGGCCUUCCAAAGUGCUGGGAUUAUAGGAGUGAAGCACGGCGCCAACCUCUUGCUUGUAUUUCUUUGCUUUGUGGUUUCUUAAGUCUUGAAAUAAUUAAACUUACAUUGAUUGAAUGCUAUCCAUGGUGUUUUUUUUUUUAAUUUAGACAUUGUUGAGAGAUUUCAUGUCCUAAAAAAUAUUUAAAUUUUACAUAUUUUAAAGUUCAGUGUUUGUUAACAGGACAAAUCCCAAUCUGCUGAAAUAUGGGAAAAAUUGAAUUUUGGAAACAAGGACCAAAAUGUCAAAUUUAGGAAAUUGAUGGGUAUUAAGGUGAGUUUCACAUGUGCCAGGGGAUCUUUGUAUUAGCUAUUAGCCCUCCUGCACUGUUCUUCCCUCAUUUUCUUAGUUCUGGUCUUUACUCAGGUGUCAGCGUUUUUGAGUUCUUUCCCACCACCUUUUGUGAAAUAACAAGCAAUCCCAUUCUGAAACAUUUCCAUCUCCCCUACCCACUGUCCUCCCUACACACACACUUGGAGAGAGAGAGAGAGACGGGGUUUUGCUCUGCUUGCUCUGUCACUUGGGCUGGAGUACAGUGGUGCAGUCAUACCUCACUGCAGCCUUAAACUUCGAGGCUCAAGCAGUCCUUCCACCUCGGCCUCUCAAAGCCCUGGAUCACAGUUCUGAGCCACUGCGCCCAGCCUCCAUCCCCAUUUUCUACUUUACUUUCCUCUGUGGCAUUUAUACCCUGACAUCUUCUACAUAUUAUGUUUUUUCCAACCUACUAAACUGAAG
rnacentral:lncRNA from 1 species